CCCUCCAUUCAGUCAGAAAACACAAAAUUUCACGUAGCGUUUUUGUGCAGUUUGUGUGUUCAUGUGCGUGUGUUCAGUAACACGCACACUGCACGCACGCGAACAGAGCCUGACCCAAAGCGAGCUCCUCCUCCCCCCCUCCCCUCUCGGUUCUCUCUCCUCCUCUCCCUCCCCCUGCUCCUCUAUGCUCAGUUCGGUGUGUGUCUCCUCUUUCAAAGGGCGCAAGGGUGGGAACAAGUCGUCCAACAAAGCAUGUUACAGCGCAGACAUGACUUGUCCUUCAGACAGCGAGAAAAUAGUGAUAAACUGCGGGGGGGUUCGGCACGAGACGUACCGCAGCACACUGAAGACGCUGCCUGGGACCCGCUUGUCCUGGCUCACGGAGCCAGAUGCGUUCAGUAACUUUGACUAUGACCCCAAAUCCGACGAGUUUUUCUUUGACCGUCACCCUGCCACCUUUGCUUUCAUCCUCAACUAUUACCGCACUGGGAAGUUGCAUUGUCCCAACGAUGUCUGCGGUCCUCUCUUCGAGGAGGAGCUCGCGUUCUGGGGUAUCGAUGAGACGGACGUGGAGGCUUGCUGCUGGAUGAACUACCGACAGCAUCGGGACGCAGAGGAAGCGCUGGACAGCUUCGAGACGCCCGAGCCGGACCUGCCAGAGGACGACCCGGCGCUAACGGGCGGUGCGGACGGGGACUUGAAGAGGUUGUGUCUACAGGAGGAUGGUCGCAACACCAGCAGGUGGAGUAUCUGGCGACCCCGCAUGUGGGCGCUGUUUGAGGACCCCUACUCCUCGAAAUACGCCAGGUAUGUGGCGUUCGGCUCGCUCCUGUUCAUCCUCAUCUCCAUCUCAACAUUUUGCUUGGAGACACAUGAGGCCUUCAACACCAUCUACAAUAAGACAGAGAACGUGACAGUGGGGAACGUCACGCGGGAGGAGAUUGUGUAUGAGGUAGUGACUGACAACUGGCUGACCUACGUGGAGGGCGUAUGCGUCAUCUGGUUCACCAUCGAGGUGUUCGCCCGUGUCAUCUUCUGCCCGGACAAGGCCGAGUUCUUCAAGAGCUCGCUGAACAUCAUUGACUUUGUAGCCAUCCUGCCCUUUUACCUGGAGGUGGCGUUGAGCGGCCUCUCCUCUAAAGCGGCGAAAGACGUGCUGGGCUUUUUGCGCGUGGUGCGAUUCGUCCGAAUCCUGCGAAUCUUCAAGCUUACUCGGCAUUUCGUGGGGCUGAGAGUGCUGGGCCACACGCUCCGCGCCAGCACCAAUGAAUUCUUGCUCCUUAUCAUCUUCCUCGCUCUCGGAGUGCUCAUCUUCGCCACCAUGAUCUACUACGCCGAGCGCAUCGGCGCUGACCCUGCUGACCCCACGGCAAGCGCCCACACCACCUUCAAAAACAUCCCCAUUGGCUUCUGGUGGGCCGUGGUCACCAUGACAACACUGGGCUAUGGUGACAUGUAUCCAGAAACAUGGUCUGGUAUGUUAGUGGGUGCCCUGUGCGCCCUGGCAGGCGUGCUGACCAUCGCCAUGCCUGUGCCCGUCAUUGUAAAUAACUUCGGCAUGUACUACUCUCUGGCCAUGGCCAAGCAGAAGCUGCCCAAGAAAAAGAACAAGCACAUCCCGCGGGCUCCGCAGCCUGGAUCGCCCAACUACUGUAAGCCAGAUGCCCUGGCAAUGGCCACUGCCUCACCGCACAGGAUCAUGGGUAAUGUGCUGGGCGGUAUGGUGGGCUCUGGAAGCAUGGCAGGAGACUGUCCUCUUGCACAGGAGGAAAUCAUAGAGAUUAACAGAGCAGACUCAAAGCAGAAUGGGGACGCUGCAAACGCAGCUCUGGCCAAUGAGGACUGUCCCACUAUAGAUCAGGUGCUGGGGCCAGAUGACAGGAGUCCAGCCACUGGUGGGUUGGGGACAGGCACGGGCCGUGAACGCUACCCCCACGAUAGGGCCUGCUUCCUUCUCAGUACCGGAGAGUUCCGCACCACAGACAGCAAUGUCAGGAAAGGAGGGAACAUUGAAUGGAUGCUGGAUUGACAGCGAGAACUAUUCUGAAAGCCCAGUGCUUAUCAGAUAUAUGCAAAAAGAAGCAGUAACUGUGAACUAAGACUAGAACAGAAAAUCCACUUCUUCCUUUAUAAAAACAUUCCCAUACGAACAUCUGAGCCCCUGAACCAGUAUCAGCUCCUGUGCAACUCCAUUUUAGUUUGUACUCUCAUCUCAUGACAUCAUCAAUCUUGUUUAAUCGUCUUAGUUUUGCAUUAUUAAUGAGGAAAUUGGUUGUUCUGUUUCCCCUUGCUGUUGUGUUAACCUCAGCUCUAGCCCCCUCUGCUGGUUUUUCGAGGGAUGAACUGACGUACGUAGCAUUCGGUGUUGUAGAUCAUUAGCACUCUUUGGUCACUUUAGAGGCUAAGAAUACUGAUUUUUAGCCCUUAAUGUUUACCUGUUAAAUAUAAGAUUAAAGAAAAGAUACAUCAGACAUUUUUAACAGACUCUGACCUGAAGGAUUUCCUGUUCUCUCUUGUUUGUUGACAACUAAAAUCACUAGACAAUAACACUGAUCAGAGCAGAGAAGAUGCUAAUAAGUCUGCUCACAACAGCAAUGCAUGUUUUCACAUAUACAAGAUAGCUAGCACUUAGCAUCCUAGUGCAUUUUGUGGUUUUGCUGUGUGUUGUCUAUCUGUAAAGGCAUAGGCAGGGUGGACAGAGUGGAUGGAACAGCUCCACUUAUAUCCCUUUAUCUCAAUCCUGAAGUUAUGAUGUGGAAGAGACAGGCCCGCCACAAGUUAGCUUAGUUAGCAAAUACCCUGGUAAGCAGAGGCUGCAUGCAAUCACGGAGGGCAAUUUAAAUAAUUAUCUUGUACAGAGACUGCAUGUGGAGUUAACGGCACAGAAACUAUUGUUUGACUAUUGUUGAAUGUGGCAUUUGAAACGGGGAGAGCAGGUUGAGUUCAAAUGAUUUAGCGACAUUACCCAGUAUCCUCUCUGUCUCUGUCAGACUUACGCUCCCCUGUCACUACUCAGGUAAAUCUCUUUUUGUUUGUCUAUACCAGUGCUUCCAAAAUGAUGUCAUUCAAAACAAAGAGAGAGAUGGAUAAGUUACGAACACCACAUGUACAUAUGCAUCUGUGUAAAUAUGAAAUCAUUUUUGACCCCAACACUCAUUGCAAGUCUUCCUUUUCCACAGUGUCCUUAUCUUCCUUUAUUUUGUCAUUUCAUCGUUCACUUUCAUUUGUUCCCCAACUACAAACUCUUACUGCUUCCAAAUAACAACCAAAAAAGCCCAGAUGACAUUAUGAGAAACUGAGGAAAAAUAAUCAGUGAUUUGUUUAAAAAAAUUAACAAAAAGAACUUUUCAAACACGGUCUGCCAUAAGUGGAUUACAAAAAAAACUAUGUGGAAUCAGGACGCAACCAAAAUCAGGACAUGAGAGCAUGAGGGUCAGAUGGACAGAUUGUGUGUUUGGGGAACAGAGUAUUGGGAGGAUUGUCAACAAAUGAAGAAAGGCAUCGUGAAAUGGAGGACAGUUUGAGGAAGAAAGAAAAAAGGCAAAGAGAGGAGGAAGGGAGCUGAACGCUUCUCAGUUGCUGAGCUUCUGAACUGCCCCUUUUCCGAUCUCCCCAACUGCAAAACCUGUCCAGAGGCAACCCCCAGGGUCACUGCAGGAAAUAGAGACGGCGAAAGAGAGAAAACGAGAGAUGAAAGGAGUGCUACGCUAAUCCCACUUGAAGAAAACAUUGUAAUGCUCAUCUCUCCAUUACUAAUUUUAACCCCCAACGUAGGUGCAAUAAACAUAAGAUGUCACGUCCUGGGAGGAUGUUGAACACAUUUUCUUCCUACAAGGAUCUCCAGCCUUGGGAAAAGGGUGGGAUUCCGCAUACAAACUGUAGUAUGUCCUGGCAAGACCCUUCCUGGUGGAAAUGGAUGCAAUUUUAAAGUAACGAGAACUAUUUUUGUGGGGCGUUCCACCAAGUUAAAUGCACCUGAAAGUGGACAACAAAACUCUCAAUCCAGUCUCAGAUACAAAUAAUGUGUGGAAAAAUACCCAUCAUGCUAUUCAACGCUAUGCAAUUCAACCACACAUUCACAGGCGAGUUCAUCAAGCACUUCGAUCGAACAGUUUAUCAGCCAAACUUUUUCCACUCCUUUAACUUUUGGAGAUCUUGCACGUGCUUUAAAUGAAAAUAGACAGCGGUGUCAUCGGCCUGCCAUAUUCCUAUAUCGUACGAACAGUUUCCCAUUCAUCUAAUUGGAAAAUUUUGUUCAGAGUGUCCUUCUCAGGGCCCACGGAAAGGUGACUUUGUCCACUAUGAAGAAAAGAGCGUCAGCCUCUCUCUUUUCUCUCUCUCUUAGUUCAGCUCUCUGCAUCUCAGCAUUUCUGUUCCACUGUAGAUGAACUGCAUGGCAUGAAUGAGAAAAACAAAAAAAACACACAUCAAAAAACAAAACAAAACAGAGAGAAAGAUGGUAGAGAUCGUGCUGAGAGGUGCAAGAGGAAACCGAAGACAGGGCCGCUCUGUUUGCACAGUACAAUAUGGGUGACUCUGGACAAGUGGAUGGGGUCACGGAUGAAAAAUGCAGGUCCUUAACCUUCAAGUGGGGAACACAAAAUACAACAUAAGUGCAUGACACCUAAUGAAGGACAAAGGGGGUUUUAAGUGGACUGGAUGAACUAUGACAAAAGCUGAAAAAAAAGAGAAAAUUAAAAAUGCAUUUUUCUCACUUUGUUUACCAGCAUGACUAAACUGCAUGACUUCUGCAAGCCCUGAACCCCAAAUUAGAGGGCUUGGAAUCACUAAACACCGAAAUCAAAUGGAAACAAUAAAAGUUUAUGCUAAAUGCUACUAAAUUUAGAGAAGAAAAAAAAAGAAUAUAUUUAAAAAAAGAGAGGCUCUAUAUUUUGUUUU